ACCGGGAUGGCUGCUGGUUGCCCGCGUGGUCUCAUAAGCCAUGCUACGCAGGUUCGAUUCCUGCUCCCGGCA
rnacentral:tRNA from 1 species